UACAUGGGGUGCAAACGUUGCUCGGAAUUAUUGGGCGUAAAGCGCGCGUAGGCGGUUACUCAAGUCGGAUGUGAAAGCCCUCGGCUUAACUGAGGAAGUGCACCCGAAACUGAGUAGCUAGAGUACUAAAGAGGGUCGCGGAAUUCCCGGUGUAGAGGUGAAAUUCGUAGAUAUCGGGAGGAACACCGGUGGCGAAGGCGGCGACCUGGGUAGAUACUGACGCUGAGGCGCGAAAGCGUGGGGAGCAAACAGG
rnacentral:rRNA from 1 species